GAACCCCGGAAGCAUUUACAUUAGAAAUAACAUAAGAAAACAUGGUUUCCACUUAAGAUGUUAAACGUGAGCGUGUCACCCUUUAUCAAGAGGAAUGAGUAUGGAUGGUAUGCAGGCCAGAAACUUUAGGACUCCUGAUUCCAUUAUAAAGCUCAAGACUCAAGGCGGCUCACUUGUUACUAGGAGAACCUAUAAUCUAUUUGUAUACCUCACAACCAUCGUCAUAAUACGCAAACAAGAGGAAGCAGUGCAAAUACAACAA